UACGUAGGGUGCGAGCGUUGUCCGGAAUUACUGGGCGUAAAGAGUUCGUAGGUGGUUUGUCGCGUUGUCCGUGAAAACUCACAGCUCAACUGUGGGCGUGCGGGCGAUACGGGCAGACUGGAGUACUGCAGGGGAGACUGGAAUUCCUGGUGUAGCGGUGGAAUGCGCAGAUAUCAGGAGGAACACCGGUGGCGAAGGCGGGUCUCUGGGCAGUAACUGACGCUGAGGAGCGAAAGCGUGGGGAGCGAACAGG
rnacentral:rRNA from 1 species